rnacentral:antisense_RNA from 2 species
UCUCAUGGGCGGGCCUUGGCGGGGGAGCCUCAAGGCUCACCGGUUGUUGGUUCUACGUGCCGGUCUGCGAAUCCCGUCAUUGUGCCCGCUCACCAAC